rnacentral:rRNA from 1 species
UACAGAGGGGCAAGCGUUGUUCGGAAUUACUGGGCGUAAAGGGCGCGUAGGCGGCCUUCUAAGUCGAACGUGAAAUCCCCGGGCUCAACCCGGGAACUGCGUCCGAUACUGGAAGGCUUGAAUCCGGGAGAGGGAUGCGGAAUUCCAGGUGUAGCGGUGAAAUGCGUAGAUAUCUGGAGGAACACCGGUGGCGAAGGCGGCAUCCUGGACCGGCAUUGACGCUGAGGCGCGGAAAGCCAGGGGAGCAAAGCGGGGAU